GCUUACACAUGCAGUCGAACGGCAGCACGGACUUCGGUCUGGUGGCGAGUGGCGAACGGGUGAGUAAUGUAUCGGAACGUGCCUAGUAGCGGGGGAUAACUACGCGAAAGCGUAGCUAAUACCGCAUACGCCCUACGGGGGAAAGCAGGGGAUCGCAAGACCUUGCACUAUUAGAGCGGCCGAUAUCGGAUUAGCUAGUUGGUGGGGUAACGGCUCACCAAGGCGACGAUCCGUAGCUGGUUUGAGAGGACGACCAGCCACACUGGGACUGAGACACGGCCCAGACUCCUACGGGAGGCAGCAGUGGGGAAUUUUGGACAAUGGGGGAAACCCUGAUCCAGCCAUCCCGCGUGUGCGAUGAAGGCCUUCGGGUUGUAAAGCACUUUUGGCAGGAAAGAAACGUCCCGGGCUAAUACCCUGGGAAACUGACGGUACCUGCAGAAUAAGCACCGGCUAACUACGUGCCAGCAGCCGCGGUAAUACGUAGGGUGCAAGCGUUAAUCGGAAUUACUGGGCGUAAAGCGUGCGCAGGCGGUUCGGAAAGAAAGAUGUGAAAUCCCAGAGCUUAACUUUGGAACUGCAUUUUUAACUACCGAGCUAGAGUGUGUCAGAGGGAGGUGGAAUUCCGCGUGUAGCAGUGAAAUGCGUAGAUAUGCGGAGGAACACCGAUGGCGAAGGCAGCCUCCUGGGAUAACACUGACGCUCAUGCACGAAAGCGUGGGAGCAAACAGGAUUAGAUACCCUGGUAGUCCACGCCCUAAACGAUGUCAACUAGCUGUUGGGGCCUUCGGGCCUUGGUAGCGCAGCUAACGCGUGAAGUUGACCGCCUGGGGAGUACGGUCGCAAGAUUAAAACUCAAAGGAAUUGACGGGGACCCGCACAAGCGGUGGAUGAUGUGGAUUAAUUCGAUGCAACGCGAAAAACCUUUACCUACCCUUUGACAUGUCUGGGAAUGCCGAAGAGAUUUGGGCAGUGCUCGCAGAGACCGGAACACAGGUGCUGCAUGGCUG
rnacentral:rRNA from 1 species